UACGGAGGUGGCAAGCGUUGUUCGGAUUCAUUGGGCGUAAAGGGUGCGUAGGCGGCGCGGUAAGUCGGGUGUGAAAUCUUGGAGCUUAACUCCGAAACUGCAUUCGAUACUGCCGUGCUUGAGGACUGGAGAGGAGACUGGAAUUUACGGUGUAGCGGUGAAAUGCGUAGAUAUCGUAAGGAAGACCAGUGGCGAAGGCGGGUCUCUGGACAGUUCCUGACGCUGAAGCACGAAGGCCAGGGGAGCAAACGGG
rnacentral:rRNA from 1 species